GACGAACGCUGGCGGCGUGCUUAACACAUGCAAGUCGAACGGAAAGGCCCUGCUUUUGUGGGGUGCUCGAGUGGCGAACGGGUGAGUAACACGUGAGUAACCUGCCCUUGACUUUGGGAUAACUUCAGGAAACUGGGGCUAAUACCGGAUAGGAGCUCCUGCUGCAUGGUGGGGGUUGGAAAGUUUCGGCGGUUGGGGAUGGACUCGCGGCUUAUCAGCUUGUUGGUGGGGUAGUGGCUUACCAAGGCUUUGACGGGUAGCCGGCCUGAGAGGGUGACCGGCCACAUUGGGACUGAGAUACGGCCCAGACUCCUACGGGAGGCAGCAGUGGGGAAUAUUCCACAAUGGGCGGAAGCCUGAUGCAGCAACGCCGCGUGCGGGAUGACGGCCUUCGGGUUGUAAACCGCUUUCGCCUGUGACGAAGCGUGAGUGACGGUAAUGGAUAAAGAAGCACCGGCUAACUACGUG
rnacentral:rRNA from 1 species